rnacentral:rRNA from 1 species
CCCUUAGACGUUCUGGGCCGCACGCGCGCUACACUGACCAGUGCAACAAGCAUCCGUCCUUGGCCGACAGGCCCGGGCAAUCUUUGAACGCUGGUCGUGAUGGGGAUAGACUUUUGCAAUUUUUGGUCUUCAACGAGGAAUUCCUAGUAAACGCAAGUCAUCAACUUGCAUUGAUUACGUCCCUGCCCUUUGUACACACCGCCCGUCGCUCCUACCGAUUGAAUGGUCCGGUGAAGCGUUCGGACCGUGGCCUUUGGACGGUUCGCCGUCUGUUGGCUGCGGGAAGUUCGUUAAACCUUAUCAUUUAGAGGAAGGAGAAGUCGUAACA